GGAAGAGGGCCAAGCACAACCUUUCAUGAAAAAGCAAGAGCCAAGUCAAGAACGUCCAAGAUCAAGCUAGGAGCGUCUAAGACCAAGCUAGGAGCAUCUAGGACCAAGCUAGGAGCGUCUAGGACAAGAAGACCAAGCUAGGGGCGUCUAAGACAAGCUAGGAGCGUCUAGGACAAGAAGACUUGGAUCAAAGCUAUGAAUGGGAG
rnacentral:lncRNA from 1 species